UUUCCCGUUCCCACACUGUGCUCCCCCCCACAGGAGCAUAGCCUGGGAGCUGCUUUUUUUACCUCCCCCUCCCCUCUCUUUUUCAUCCCUUUUCCUCCCUCCUCUUAUAUCACUGGUCAUCCUGUCAUGUCUGUCUCAUUGUGCUGUAUUAUUGUAUGUACAGACGGGUUGAUAUUGUAGUAAUUUCGCUUUACUUCUGUAUAAGUGACAAUACUGGCUCAUUCAAUUCAAUUCAUUCAAUCAACAAGACUAAACAUCGCUGUUACCGAGUGGAGUCACUGAUGAGGGACACGCGUUUACAAACUGACGCUGACAUUCCGUGUUUUCUGCUGGACAGGUAAUUUGUCAUACGUAUCUAAAUGUUCUGUGUAGUGUUAUAUCUGUUACUAGAACACAGCAGUGUUAAACUCCUCAAAUAUUCUACUCCGAUAUAAUAACAUUAAUGAUUUUGCAAGCAUUUUGUGUUACUUUUGUGCUCUGGUGGGUCUGCGUUUUCCCCCACAUUAGAAGCAGUUAACAUGUUAGCUGCUGGGGGAAUAGCGAGGUUUGUUCUCAUCUGUGCUCAUGUGUUAGACUGAGGCUGUAGCGCAGAGUUGUCUCUUACAGCUGUCAAAGAGACAAUGUCUUCAUGUCACAGCACCAGCACUGUCCAGCACUGGUGCUUCAAAGGGACAGACAGGUAAGUUACUGGAGGUUUGCAGUUAUGUAUUAUAAGAGAAGAAGUUGAUUGUUCACAGGGUUUCAUAUGAAAGUUAAUUGUAUUUCCUGAUGUGACACACACUAUAACUUAUAGAGAUGAGUGUUUAAAGUUCAUCAGAGAGGCAUUAGUGUUGAACAAAGGUUACAGAUAAACUGUCUUUGUUUAUCUGUUACCUUAUCUAUUAUGUCUGUUUUUAAUUCACAAGUAUUUUAUUUUUAAAUAUCCUUAUUUUUCCAGCUUAUAUGGACAUUGUAAAGCUGUACAUGGAGGGAAAUAUGUUUACUGACCCUGUAAAAUAUGUGUGUUUGGUGUUAUUUUACAGCUACAGUUCUCUGAAUGCUGUAUGUCUUAUGCCUGUUUACAGAAAUGUUUGAACAGAUGACUCUAACUGACAGACAAAUAUUGAUCUUCAGUCGUCCACUGUAUGAGGCCAGAAUUCUGUUCACUGCACUCAACUACAAUGUCCACAGGAACCGACCACUGCUGAAAACCAAAUAAAGAAUCAAGAACAACACAUCUGACCUGAGAUUCAUCACUGGAUUCAAACUGUGGAAAUAAAAGAAAACCUGCCCAAAACCACACCCCAUUAUUGCUGGACGAGACAA